UGUGAUUAGUGGCGAACGGGUGAGUAACACGUGAGUAACCUGCCCCUGACUCUGGGAUAAGCGUUGGAAACGACGUCUAAUACUGGAUACGACUGCCGGCCGCAUGGUCUGGUGGUGGAAAGAUUUUUUGGUUGGGGAUGGACUCGCGGCCUAUCAGCUUGUUGGUGAGGUAAUGGCUCACCAAGGCGACGACGGGUAGCCGGCCUGAGAGGGUGACCGGCCACACUGGGACUGAGACACGGCCCAGACUCCUACGGGAGGCAGCAGUGGGGAAUAUUGCACAAUGGGCGAAAGCCUGAUGCAGCAACGCCGCGUGAGGGAUGACGGCCUUCGGGUUGUAAACCUCUUUUAGUAGGGAAGAAGCGAAAGUGACGGUACCUGCAGAAAAAGCACCGGCUAACUACGUGCCAGCAGCCGCGGUAAUACGUAGGGUGCAAGCGUUGUCCGGAAUUAUUGGGCGUAAAGAGCUCGUAGGCGGUUUGUCGCGUCUGCUGUGAAAUCCCGAGGCUCAACCUCGGGCUUGCAGUGGGUACGGGCAGACUAGAGUGCGGUAGGGGAGAUUGGAAUUCCUGGUGUAGCGGUGGAAUGCGCAGAUAUUCAGGAGGAACACCGAUGGCGAAGGCAGAUCU
rnacentral:rRNA from 1 species